rfam:Daphnia pulex DAPPTscaffold_117_Cont4923, whole genome shotgun sequence.
GACAGUGUGGCCGAGUGGUCUAUGGCGCUGGUUUUAAGCACCAUUCUCUUCGGAGGCAAUUUUUCGAAUCUCUUCACUGUCA